CCUACGGGUGGCUGCAGUGGGGAAUAUUGCACAAUGGGGGGAACCCUGAUGCAGCGACGCCGCGUGAGUGAAGAAGUAUUUCGGUAUGUAAGGCUCUAUCAGCCGGGCAGAAAAUGACGGUACCUGACUAAGAAGCCCCGGCUAACUACGUGCCAGCAGCCGCGGUAAUACGUAGGGGGCAAGCGUUAUCCGGAUUUACUGUGUGUAAAGGGAGCGCAGACGGCUGUGCAAGUCUAGAGUGAAAGGCGGGGGCCCAACCCCCGGACUGCUCGGGAAACUGUAAAGCUGGAGUGUAUGAGAGGUAAGCGGAAGUCGUAGUGUAGCGGUGAAAUGCGUAGAUAUUAGGAGGAACACCAGUGGCGAAGGCGGCUUACUGGACUGCAACUGACGUUGAGGCUCCAAAGCGUGGGGAGCAAACAGGAUUAGAUACCCGUGUUGUC
rnacentral:rRNA from 1 species